CUACUCCGUAGUUUCUCCAAGGCAGCUAUCCUAAAGAGCCCACAGGCGCCUUCCUGAUUCUCAGUUCUGCUCAUUGUCUCUUCAAUUCCGAAUCCACAGGACUUUCCUCUCUUCUCACGAGUUCUUUACCCACUCUGCUACCUCUUCUACCUGCAACUCAAAAUCUUUAGUGUGUGGUCUCUACUGGAUUCCAAAGUCCUCACUCAUUUUGUGACUGGUAGAAGAGCAAGGCAUGGAAGGGCUGUGAAAAUCCAUUUCCUUCUCCAGGGACUGGCAGGAAAUGAUAUUUUAUAACUCUACUCAACCACUUGCAUGGGAGUGAUAAGGCACAAGAGCGGCUGUUUAUAUAUGACCCACCAUUACUCCAUUUCAGUGAAGUUGAUAGACAGCAUUGUUAAGAAAUGACUACAUCUGUAAAAUGCCGGAGCAUGUUGAUAGACCUGUCUUCUGAUGUGCGGAAGCCCUGAUUUAUAGGAUUAGUAGAGUUUCAUGCUGUAACUUAUAACCUAUUUAAAGUUAUCAAGGUUUCAAGCAUGAGUUUGGAAAAUCCCUAAAUAUUUAAAAUUUAGAUCCCUGAGCCUUAAUUUAGUGAACUCCAGGUCACACCUGCACAUUUUCAUAUAACUGUUCUAUGGUCAUGAUUUUUAACAGAACUCUUGAGAAGACAUGUUUUUGUUGUUAUUUUAUUUUAUUUUCUCUAUUAUGGGAAAGAUCUAACAUAUACAAAUGCUCAGCAUUCUUUAAAAUUAGUCCAACAAAAACACCCAGGACAAGGAUUCACUUCAAGUCUUUACUGCUUCUCAAAAGUAAGUAUUAACAUUACUGCAUUAGAUCACAUAGGAAUUUUCAAAGUUAAGAUAGCUUAAAGCUUUAGGCAAUAUUGUAGCUUAUAAGGCCUAUAAGGGAAAAUUAUCUGAUUACACCUCAUGUGAAGUACGAAGAUUACAGUGGGAACUAGUUCAUGUCAAUUUAUUCUUAAUUUAUUGGUUGAUCCAGUUGGUGGUGUUUUGUGUGUAAUGGAAUUUAAGCAUGAACAACUAGAGAGCUAGGCACAGUUAGAGACCUUGGCACCUGAAUGACAAUAGAAAUGUCAAAGCUGAUAAGAGGAAACUGUGAUACACCUAAGGGUUUUGAACGGAGAACAGGGAAUACUACAAAGAUCAUGGACACUAUAUUUUCUGUUUUGUGAAUGCGGUAAAAAUUUUGUUUCAUAUUCCUAAUAAACCAUACAAUAAAUUGAAGACAGAUUUUUAAAGAAUGCUCUCAUGUACGUACCUGUUACUUAAAGGGAAGUUGUAUGCCUCAUUUGCUUGGAUUAGCUUCAAGAAUUUAACACCAAGUCAAGAUAAAGACAGAAAGAAACAUUGGCCUAAGUCAGCUUAGAUUGUUUCAAAGAGUUUGAGAUUUAAAAAAAUAUUUUAUAUGUAUUAGUGUUAAAAAAAGUUUUAUAUGUACUAGUGUUUACCAUGCAUGCAUGUCUGUGCACCAUGAACAUCUAGUGCACGAGGAAUCCAGAAAAGAACAUCAGAUCCCCUAGAAUUUGAGUUAUAGACAAUUGUUAGCUUCUAUGUGGGUGCUAGGAAUUUAAUCUGGGUCCUCUGGAAGAGCAGCCAGUGCUCUUAACUGCUGAGCCAUCUCUUAGCCCCAGCUUAAAACAUUUUUGAAGUGAAUUUCUAUAAAUGAAUAUUGAAAUUGUUAUACUUUUGUAAACUUGUGAUGUAUACAUGUAUACACUUUUUUUCUUUCAUUAAAUAUGUGGUUGAACUAA